AGGUGAACCUGCGGAGGGAUCAUUACACAAAUAUGAAGGCGGGCUGGAACCUCUCGGGGUUACAGCCUUGCUGAAUUAUUCACCCUUGUCUUUUGCGUACUUCUUGUUUCCUUGGUGGGUUCGCCCACCACUAGGACAAACAUAAACCUUUUGUAAUUGCAAUCAGCGUCAGUAACAAAUUAAUAAUUACAACUUUCAACAACGGAUCUCUUGGUUCUGGCAUCGAUGAAGAACGCAGCGAAAUGCGAUAAGUAGUGUGAAUUGCAGAAUUCAGUGAAUCAUCGAAUCUUUGAACGCACAUUGCGCCCUUUGGUAUUCCAAAGGGCAUGCCUGUUCGAGCGUCAUUUGUACCCUCAAGCUUUGCUUGGUGUUGGGCGUCUUGUCUCUAGCUUUGCUGGAGACUCGCCUUAAAGUAAUUGGCAGCCGGCCUACUGGUUUCGGAGCGCAGCACAAGUCGCACUCUCUAUCAGCAAAGGUCUAGCAUCCAUUAAGCCUUUUUUCAACUUUUGACCUCGGAUCAGGUAGGGAUACCCGCUGAACUUA
rnacentral:rRNA from 1 species